rnacentral:rRNA from 1 species
UACGGGGGGGGCAAGCGUUGUUCGGAAUUACUGGGCGUAAAGGGCGCGUAGGCGGUUUGCUAAGUUGGAUGUGAAAACUCUGGGCUUAACCCAGAGCCUGCAUCCAAAACUGGCGAACUGGAGUACUGGAGGGGAAAGCGGAAUUCCUGGUGUAGCGGUGAAAUGCGUAGAUAUCAGGAGGAACACCGGUGGCGAAGGCGGCUCACUGGCCCGAUACUGACGCUGAGGUGCGAAAGCGUGGGGAGCAAACAGG